rnacentral:rRNA from 1 species
AUACGUAGGGGGCGAGCGUUGUCCGGAAUGAUUGGGCGUAAAGGGCGCGUAGGCGGCGCGGUAAGUCUGGAGUGAAAGUCCUGCUUUCAAGGUGGGAAUUGCUUUGGAUACUGCCGCGCUUGAGUGCAGGAGAGGUUAUCGGAAUUCCCGGUGUAGCGGUGAAAUGCGUAGAGAACGGGAGGAACACCAGUGGCGAAGGCGGGUAACUGGACUGCAACUGACGCUGAGGCGCGAAAGUGUGGGGAGCAAACAGGAUUAGAUACCCUGGUAGUCCACACUGUAAACGAUGAAUGCUAGGUGUAAGAGGUAUCGACCCCUUUUGUGCCGGAGUCAACACAAUAAGCAUUCCGCCUGGGGAGUACGGCCGCAAGGUUGAAACUCAAAGGAAUUGACGGGG